AACGCGAAGAACCUUACCUGGGCUCGAAGCGUACCUGACCAUCCCGAGAAAUCGGGACUUCCCGCAAGGGACAGGUGCGGAGGUGCUGCAUGGCUGUCGUCAGCUCGUGCCGUGAGGUGUUGGGUUAAGUCCCGCAACGAGCGCAACCCUUAUCCUUAGUUGCCACCCGCAAGGGGGAACUCUAAGGGGACUGCUCCGGAUAACGGAGAGGAAGGUGGGGAUGACGUCAAGUCAGCAUGGCCUUUAUGUCCAGGGCUACACACGUGUUACAAUGCGCGCCACAAAGCGCUGCGAACCCGCGAGGGGGAGCUAAUCGCAAAAAAGCGCGCUCAGUUCGGAUUGCAGUCUGCAACUCGGCUGCAUGAAGCCGGAAUCGCUAGUAAUGGCGCAUCAGCACGGCGCCGUGAAUACGUUCCCGGGCCUUGUA
rnacentral:rRNA from 1 species